rnacentral:rRNA from 1 species
GGGUUGUGAGGUUAAGCGACUAAGCGUACACGGUGGAUGCCCUGGCAGUCAGAGGCGAUGAAGGACGUGCUAAUCUGCGAUAAGCGUCGGUAAGGUGAUAUGAACCGUUAUAACCGGCGAUUUCCGAAUGGGGAAACCCAGUGUGAUUCGUCACACUAUCAUUAACUGAAUCCAUAGGUUAAUGAGGCGAACCGGGGGAACUGAAACAUCUAAGUACCCCGAGGAAAAGAAAUCAACCGAGAUUCCCCCAGUAGCGGCGAGCGAACGGGGAGGAGCCCAGAGCCUGAAUCAGUGUGUGUGUUAGUGGAAGCGUCUGGAAAGGCGCGCGAUACAGGGUGACAGCCCCGUACACAAAAAUGCACAUGCUGUGAGCUCGAUGAGUAGGGCGGGACACGUGGUAUCCUGUCUGAAUAUGGGGGGACCAUCCUCCAAGGCUAAAUACUCCUGACUGACCGAUAGUGAACCAGUACCGUGAGGGAAAGGCGAAAAGAACCCCGGCGAGGGGAGUGAAAAAGAACCUGAAACCGUGUACGUACAAGCAGUGGGAGCCUCUUUAUGGGGUGACUGCGUACCUUUUGUAUAAUGGGUCAGCGACUUAUAUUCUGUAGCAAGGUUAACCGAAUAGGGGAGCCGAAGGGAAACCGAGUCUUAACUGGGCGUUAAGUUGCAGGGUAUAGACCCGAAACCCGGUGAUCUAGCCAUGGGCAGGUUGAAGGUUGGGUAACACUAACUGGAGGACCGAACCGACUAAUGUUGAAAAAUUAGCGGAUGACUUGUGGCUGGGGGUGAAAGGCCAAUCAAACCGGGAGAUAGCUGGUUCUCCCCGAAAGCUAUUUAGGUAGCGCCUCGUGAAUUCAUCUCCGGGGGUAGAGCACUGUUUCGGCAAGGGGGUCAUCCCGACUUACCAACCCGAUGCAAACUGCGAAUACCGGAGAAUGUUAUCACGGGAGACACACGGCGGGUGCUAACGUCCGUCGUGAAGAGGGAAACAACCCAGACCGCCAGCUAAGGUCCCAAAGUCAUGGUUAAGUGGGAAACGAUGUGGGAAGGCCCAGACAGCCAGGAUGUUGGCUUAGAAGCAGCCAUCAUUUAAAGAAAGCGUAAUAGCUCACUGGUCGAGUCGGCCUGCGCGGAAGAUGUAACGGGGCUAAACCAUGCACCGAAGCUGCGGCAGCGACGCUUAUGCGUUGUUGGGUAGGGGAGCGUUCUGUAAGCCUGUGAAGGUGUGCUGUGAGGCAUGCUGGAGGUAUCAGAAGUGCGAAUGCUGACAUAAGUAACGAUAAAGCGGGUGAAAAGCCCGCUCGCCGGAAGACCAAGGGUUCCUGUCCAACGUUAAUCGGGGCAGGGUGAGUCGACCCCUAAGGCGAGGCCGAAAGGCGUAGUCGAUGGGAAACAGGUUAAUAUUCCUGUACUUGGUGUUACUGCGAAGGGGGGACGGAGAAGGCUAUGUUGGCCGGGCGACGGUUGUCCCGGUUUAAGCGUGUAGGCUGGUUUUCCAGGCAAAUCCGGAAAAUCAAGGCUGAGGCGUGAUGACGAGGCACUACGGUGCUGAAGCAACAAAUGCCCUGCUUCCAGGAAAAGCCUCUAAGCAUCAGGUAACAUCAAAUCGUACCCCAAACCGACACAGGUGGUCAGGUAGAGAAUACCAAGGCGCUUGAGAGAACUCGGGUGAAGGAACUAGGCAAAAUGGUGCCGUAACUUCGGGAGAAGGCACGCUGAUAUGUAGGUGAAGUCCCUCGCGGAUGGAGCUGAAAUCAGUCGAAGAUACCAGCUGGCUGCAACUGUUUAUUAAAAACACAGCACUGUGCAAACACGAAAGUGGACGUAUACGGUGUGACGCCUGCCCGGUGCCGGAAGGUUAAUUGAUGGGGUCAGCGCAAGCGAAGCUCUUGAUCGAAGCCCCGGUAAACGGCGGCCGUAACUAUAACGGUCCUAAGGUAGCGAAAUUCCUUGUCGGGUAAGUUCCGACCUGCACGAAUGGCGUAAUGAUGGCCAGGCUGUCUCCACCCGAGACUCAGUGAAAUUGAACUCGCUGUGAAGAUGCAGUGUACCCGCGGCAAGACGGAAAGACCCCGUGAACCUUUACUAUAGCUUGACACUGAACAUUGAGCCUUGAUGUGUAGGAUAGGUGGGAGGCUUAGAAGUGUGGACGCCAGUCUGCAUGGAGCCGACCUUGAAAUACCACCCUUUAAUGUUUGAUGUUCUAACGUUGACCCGUAAUCCGGGUUGCGGACAGUGUCUGGUGGGUAGUUUGACUGGGGCGGUCUCCUCCUAAAGAGUAACGGAGGAGCACGAAGGUUGGCUAAUCCUGGUCGGACAUCAGGAGGUUAGUGCAAUGGCAUAAGCCAGCUUGACUGCGAGCGUGACGGCGCGAGCAGGUGCGAAAGCAGGUCAUAGUGAUCCGGUGGUUCUGAAUGGAAGGGCCAUCGCUCAACGGAUAAAAGGUACUCCGGGGAUAACAGGCUGAUACCGCCCAAGAGUUCAUAUCGACGGCGGUGUUUGGCACCUCGAUGUCGGCUCAUCACAUCCUGGGGCUGAAGUAGGUCCCAAGGGUAUGGCUGUUCGCCAUUUAAAGUGGUACGCGAGCUGGGUUUAGAACGUCGUGAGACAGUUCGGUCCCUAUCUGCCGUGGGCGCUGGAGAACUGAGGGGGGCUGCUCCUAGUACGAGAGGACCGGAGUGGACGCAUCACUGGUGUUCGGGUUGUCAUGCCAAUGGCACUGCCCGGUAGCUAAAUGCGGAAGAGAUAAGUGCUGAAAGCAUCUAAGCACGAAACUUGCCCCGAGAUGAGUUCUCCCUGACCCUUUAAGGGUCCUGAAGGAACGUUGAAGACGACGACGUUGAUAGGCCGGGUGUGUAAGCGCAGCGAUGCGUUGAGCUAACCGGUACUAAUGAACCGUGAGGCUUAACCUUACAACGCCGAAGCUGUU